rnacentral:rRNA from 1 species
UGUCGUCAGCUCGUGUCGUGAGAUGUUGGGUUAAGUCCGUAACCGAGCGCAACCCUUGUCCUUAGUUACCAGCACGUUAUGUGGGCGACUCUAAGGAGGACUGCCGGUGACAAACCGGAGGAAGGUGGGGAUGACGUCAAGUCAUCAUGGCCCUUACGGCCUGGGCUACACACGUGCUACAAUGGUCGGUACAAAGGGUUGCCAAGCCGCGAGGUGGAGCUAAUCCCAUAAAACCGAUCGUAGUCCGGAUCGCAGUCUGCAACUCGACUGCGUGAAGUCGGAAUCGCUAGUAAUCGUGAAUCAGAAUGUCACGGUGAAUACGUUCCCGGGCCUU